UUACUGGCCAACAAGCUAGGCAAUUAGCUGAUCUAGCAACUAUUGAAUCUGAAACAGGGGAAUUACUAUACCAAAUGUAUCAAAUAUUCUCCCGCUUCUAUAAAGAACUGUACACUGAUUGUAAAUCCACACCAAGCCAGACUAAGUCCUUUCUAAAAUAAUUAUGACAUCCUCUUCUCUGAACAGAUCACACCUGCUUGCUCUAAUUUUGUAGUACCACGUCUGUUCUCCUUUUUGUUUUGGAAAAGUUAGGGUUAGGGUUAGAUGGGGCCCAGUCAUCAAUCUACUUCCCACCAUAAAUCCAGAGCAUGCCAGACUUUGAUAAAAGUUUGAUGACAAAAUUUGCCCACAAAGGACCGCCGUACCAACUUCCUGUUUAAGUGAGCAGGAAUUUGGCAGUACGUCCAACCGGCCUCACAACCGCAGAC